AGGAAGGAGAAGUCGUAACAAGGUUUCCGUCAGGUGAACCUGCGGAAGGAUCAUUGUCGAAACCUGCCCAGCAGAACGACCCGCGAACCCGUGAUCGCUCUCGAGGGGGUCUGGCGUACGGCGCUUCUGGCUGCCCGCGUCGGGCCCCUUCCUGCUGCGGGGGACGGGCGAGAUCUCGCUCGUUCCUCGCGGUCGAACAACGAACCCCCGGCGCGAGUCGCGCCAAGGAAUAUGUAACGAGAGAGAGAGAGCUCCCGUCGUCCCGGUCACGGAUCGACGUGCGGGAYGCUUGCCCUUCUUUCAACGAAAAUCUAAAACGACUCUCGGCAACGGAUAUCUCGGCUCUCGCAUCGAUGAAGAACGUAGCGAAAUGCGAUACUUGGUGUGAAUUGCAGAAUCCCGUGAACCAUCGAGUCUUUGAACGCAAGUUGCGCCCCAAGCCGUUAGGCCGAGGGCACGUCUGCCUGGGUGUCACGCAUCGUUGCCCACCCCCCCGCCCCCCCUCUCGGGGGAUGGUUGGACGGGCGAAAACUGGCCUCCCGUGCGCUCCCGCUCGCGGUUGGCCCAAAUCCGAGUCUUUCGGUGACCGUGCCGCGACGAUCGGUGGUGGAACAUGCCCCUCGAGAUCCCGUCGCGUGCUCGUGUCUCCGUGCCAUGGGCUCGCGGACCCUUGUCGGCGCCUUCUCCUCUCGAGGAGGUGCUCGCCUUGCGACCCCAGGUCAGGCGGGACUACCCGCUGA
rnacentral:rRNA from 1 species